rnacentral:rRNA from 1 species
UACGUAGGGUCCAAGCGUUAAUCGGAAUUACUGGGCGUAAAGCGUGCGCAGGCGGCUUUGCAAGUCAGACGUGAAAUCCCUGGGCUUAACCUGGGAAUGGCGUUUGAAACUACGGAGCUGGAGUGUGGCAGAGGGAGGUAGAAUUCCACGUGUAGCGGUGAGAUGCGUAGAUAUGUGGAGGAAUACCGAUGGCGAAGGCAGCCUCCUGGGCCAACACUGACGCUCAUGCACGAAAGCGUGGGGAGCAAACAGG